rnacentral:rRNA from 1 species
UCGGGAAUUUUGGGCAAUGGGCGAAAGCCUGAUCCAGCAAUGCCGCGUGAGUGAAGAAGGCCUUCGGGUUGUAAAGCUCUUUUGUCAGGGAAGAAACGGUGAGAGCUAAUAUCUCUUGCUAAUGACGGUACCUGAAGAAUAAGCACCGGCUAACUACGUGCCAGCAGCCGCGGUAAUACGUAGGGUGCAAGCGUUGUUCGGAUUUACUGGGCGUAAAGGGCGCGUAGGCGGCAUGACAAGUCACUUGUGAAAUCUCUGGGCUUAACCCAGAACGGCCAAGUGAUACUGUCGCGCUAGAGUGCAGAAGGGGCAAUCGGAAUUCUUGGUGUAGCGGUGAAAUGCGUAGAUAUCAAGAGGAACACCUGAGGUGAAGACGGGUUGCUGGGCUGACACUGACGCUGAGGCGCGAAAGCCAGGGGAGCAAACGGGAUUAGAUACCCCGGUAGUCCCUGAGCGGGCUGGCAAGGCGCAU